ACUAAACUGCAAACUGACUUAACUCUUAAGGACCAAAGUUAAUAACCGACCUAUUCUAUAGGGACCUAACUGUGACAUCAGAAAUAGUUUUAAUUCAAAUUCAGGUCCCUGGUUUUGUCUAUAAAUACCACCACGAAGUUCAAGUUCAAACCAGCUCAAAUUAGAGCAACCCAAGCCUUGAAACUUGGCAUAAACCUUCUCCUCCACCCCCUGAAGCCUCAGCCACCACCCUCAGCCACCAACAAUCACCACAGAGACGGUGGUUAACGGCCAAAAUUCCAGUCACGGCCAAACCUUGCAUAAUCGAGUUCCAGACCAAUUCACCUCCCAAUUCUUGUUCCAUUAGCUUCCUUAAGUCCAUUAGAGUGUGAACCAAUCCAGAACCAAGCUCAAAUUGCCCUGAAAUAGCCCAACCGAGCUCAAGAAGUUCUGAAACUUUGAGCUCUCGGUUCUCCCUCAAAUCUCCAUCAAUUUUGUCGAAUCAAGAGUCUAUCUUGCUUAUAAUUUCACCAGGAAACUAUUCGUGCAAGAAUUUUGAAGCUUGGAGGCCUAGAUUGUAUUCUACCAUUGUUGCCGAGCUCCUCGCCGGAAAAGCUUCAUGGAGCUCAUCGUUUUGGCCAAACCAGAGACCUUCUCAGCUACCCACCUAUACCAUUGAGCUCCUGGGAGUGAGAGGAAGCUUUUCCAACUGGUUUCCACCCUUAACUCCACCCUCCCGCCGGAGCUCCGCCGCCAACCACCACCUUCUCCGGCGAGCUCACCGGUAAACUGCUCAGAACUUGGAUUAUCUUGCAUAGUUCGAAUCCUUGUCUUCCAUAGGUUCCAUAUACAUAUUUGGUUCGGAAAAAUUAACUUGGUUUGAUAAGGUUUUAAGAGGAGAGAAGAUAAUCAUUAAUUGGAGGAUUUUUCCGAAGAAAGGUAAGGGGGGGAGAAUGCUCAACUCAUGAGAGAGUGUAGUGUAAAUAAAUAGGUGUUGGACCUCCCUUGGGUCCCUAUUUGUUUUAUUGAAAUAUGAUUAUUGUAAACAGGAUUUAUUUCUGGGAAUUGAUUCGAUAGGAGCCUCCGAAUCUUUUCUUAAACAUUUUUUUACGAGGCAUCCCGAUUUUUAAAGAAAAUAUUAUUUGAUAAAUUCCCAGAAUAUUUCCAAGAGAUUUUUAACGGCUUGCAGGUACUCUAUAAAAAGGAAAGGUCAGUGGCCCCAACUGGACAGUCAAGGCCAGGCUGUGCCAUUGGGUAACGCUUGAAGGUGUGAAAAACUACUAAAAGGGGGGGUUGAAUAGAGUUUUGAAUAUAAAAACUUUCCCCUUAAGAUUUAAAGUAAAUCUUUUCGGUUUCUCUGAGAUAGAUGGUGCAGCGGAUAAAGAUAGAGAGAAGAGAAAAGCACACAAGUAUUUUAUCCUGGUUCACUUGAUAAAUCCCUCAAGCUAAUCCAGUCCACCCGUUAAGCCUUUUAUAGUCCAAGGUGCAAAGGAUAUUUCUGUUGAGAGAAUAUGACCGUUGGAGGGCAUUUCUGGAACUUCCAGAACCUGCUGUGGCUGAACCUUGGUAGGGACGGAGACCGAGGAGAAAGAACUAGAAUGAAAAAGUGACCAAGGCAGGAAGAGCCGUAAAUAGUUGUGAAUAUACGAGAGUGUUCGAGUAGAAUAAAGACUAGCCGAUGGAAGAAGACGUGUGCGACUGGACUCGUACUCUAUCAGACUGUAAAAUAAGUAUGAAAGCAGUGGGUUUUUUUGUAAUUAAGUUUGUCAAAGUAAUCGGGAAAGAUUCAGAGGAGUCCAUGCGAGACUCUGGGACGUCUUGUCUAAGGAAAGGAAUUGCUUUUAAUGACGCAUAGCGCGACUAACUUUCCUGGAGACGUUCUCAGACUAUCAAUUGGACAUCGAUGAAUUCUGACCCAAAGGUCUUGUACUUUUUUCAAAGUUCAUCAAUAAAAGUGUUGUUUUCUGAAGAUAUUCUUAUUUUAUAGUUUAGGUAGGGUGUGAGUUUGGCCGUCACAUAUUGUGUGCGUGUCUCAUUGGAGGAGGGAAAGGAAGAAACUUUACCUCUCUUGUGGCUGGAUUCCAGAGAAUCUUUGGAUUAGGGUUGUGGGGAACACCACCCAACAGUUCAAGGU